UGACUAAUAAUGCUUCUACGUCGGUGGGAUUGAAAGGUAUCAUUUCCAGUUUUUGUUUUUUCUAAAUAUUGCAUGUCAACAUCGUCUUCUUUUUUAUUUUAGUUACACGCAUACCAAAAAAAGAGGAGAAGUCUUCUGUGCGAUGACUCGCCUGGCUCUAGGUGCAAGUUAGCAAGCGUGCGCCGAACUUGGGAAGAGAGCUCGCGUACCUUCACAGAAGGCAUUAAUGGCACGGGCAACAUCCUCGCAAGCUCCGCGAGGUCAGAAAAUAACAUUAGGCUCCCAAAUUGAGACAGUUGAGGCUCAACCUAAUUCGAGAUCCAAUGAAACAGUAACUCAUGAAAUUA
rnacentral:lncRNA from 1 species